rnacentral:misc_RNA from 1 species
UUUCCGUAGGUGAACCUGCGGAAGGAUCAUUAUUGUAUAACCGAGGUGCGAGGGCUGUCGCUGACCCGAAAGGUCGUGCACGCCCGAGUGCCCUCACACACAUCCAUCUCACCCCUAUGUGCACCACCGCGUGGGUCCCCCUUUGGCUUGUUCGGAGGGGGGCUUACGUUUUCACACAAACUUUGUAUGCAGUGUAGAAUGUAUUUUUUGUUUUUGCGAUCACGCAAUCAAUACAACUUUCAACAACGGAUCUCUUGGCUCUCGCAUCGAUGAAGACAGC